AACCGGUUUCAAUUUUGGUUCCACCGCCGGUUCGAAACCGAUAGAGCAAGUCUGCCGUUCUCAUUCUUACUUCGAACUAUACCGCUCUCACGCGAGACUGCCGCGCUUGAUUUUGGGCAUUUGAUAGCGACGGUGAAGACAACGACGGCAGCAGUCUUCGGUGGCGGUGGCGCCUAGAUUCUGUCUCGAAGCACCAGCUGUGACUGAUGAGUGAAACAUAUGUACAUAAUAUUUUUUCAACCUGGUGAUUCUCAACUUGUGAAGCUUUUGUUCGAACUGCUUUCUUAUAUUUGGCAAUAAAGUUGUGUGUAAGCUUCAAAAUGUCAGGUUGAGACUGCAGCAGGUUCUGCACCCUACUAGUGGCAUCUCCCCUAAAUUUUCUGGGGAAAAAAAAUCAUUUUGGAGAGUUCCCUCCACUGCCUCAUCGGUGGAAUUUGCUAUUUUCCUUGGUGACACUUCUGAUGUUUCAGGUGUUGCCCUGCUGGUUAGUCCACGUGGGUAUUCAGCCUCUGAUGCCUCCUAUUGUAAGUGUGCUCCCAACUACCUCUUAACUAUUUAUUGAUUAGAUUUGCAAUUGAUUUUAUUUUAUUUUAUUUUAUUAUUAUUAUUAUUAUUAUUAUUAUUAUUAUUAUUAUUAUUAUUAUUAUUUUCUUAAUGUCAACAUUGGUACAUCAUGGAAACAAAUUGUCUCUCCUCCAAACCAAAUGGGGUUCCUUCCUUCCUUGCUUGCUUCCUUUCCAAAAAUGGUAAAUAAAUAAAGACUGUUUGUUUAUUUGGUAGCAGCAGAUAGACUCUUGAGUUAGUUAGGAGUGGCAGAAACUCAAACACUUUGUCCUAUGUUACCAAACUGUCUGGCAACACCAAAUACGAGUUACUUAGACAAGAGUCCUCUGUCCAGACCCUGAUCUGGUAACCUUAUGCAAUCUUCUAGUCUUAAUGAUGUGAUUAGCUAGAGUAUCUAUUUCUAUGUGGCACUGGCAGACAAUUAUAGAAGACGCUAGAUCUUAUAUUUUUGUUCACCCAAACGUAACAAAACAUACCAUUAGAGAACAAAAUCAUAAGUUGCAGAACCAUAUAUUUAAAAACCAAGCAUAAUAAACAACAUCAUGUGGUUUUCAAAGGUUUUCCAUUGCUUGUUGUCCUGCAUUCCCAUCUAUAAACUCCUAGUCAUCUUCAUUGUGCCCUCUUUUUAGCUAAUUAGGUAAAUUAGGUUGCCAUCUCUUAUUGUUUUAAUGGUUCAUAAGUUAUAUACUAAUUUGAUGGUUGGAAGUUGCAUAUUCUUAUAAGCCAUUUCAUCUUUUAUGUAUUGUUCAUCUAUUACAUCUGUUAUAUAUAUAUAUAUAUAUAUGUACAGUGGUUCAUUUA